GGCUCAGGAUGAACGCUAGCUACAGGCUUAACACAUGCAAGUCGAGGGAAACGAUAGAGAAAGCUUGCUUUUUCUAGGCGUCGACCGGCGCACGGGUGAGUAACGCGUAUCCAACCUGCCCAUCACUUGGGGAUAACCUUGCGAAAGUAAGACUAAUACCCAAUGACGUCUCUAGAAGACAUCUGAAGGAGAUUUAAAGAUUUAUCGGUGAUGGAUGGGGAUGCGUCUGAUUAGCUUGUUGGCGGGGUAACGGCCCACCAAGGCGACGAUCAGUAGGGGUUCUGAGAGGAAGGCCCCCCACAUUGGAACUGAGACACGGUCCAAACUCCUACGGGAGGCAGCAGUGAGGAAUAUUGGUCAAUGGACGAGAGUCUGAACCAGCCAAGUAGCGUGCAGGAUGACGGCCCUAUGGGUUGUAAACUGCUUUUAUAAGGGAAUAAAGUGAGUCUCGUGAGACUUUUUGCAUGUACCUUAUGAAUAAGGACCGGCUAAUUCCGUG
rnacentral:rRNA from 1 species